rnacentral:lncRNA from 1 species
CCACCUUCAAGUUCUUCACAACAAAGCCGCUAAAAUCAUUCUUGACGCUCAUCCACUCUCGUCAGCCUCAGAAUCCCUACGAUCGUUAAAUUGGCAGCCGUUAGCAACUCCUAGACACCUUCACCGUUGUCUAAUCAUGCACAAGUGUUUAAACAAUGACAUUGAUUUUAAAUUUAACUUCAAGUUCUCCUCUGACAUCCACAGUUACAACACUCGAAACAAACAGAACAUACAUUUGGAACGCGUAAAGAAGAACUGGGGGAAGCAGGCAUUCAGCUACCAUGCUGCCAACGACUGGAAUAGUCUGCCAGUGGAAAUCCGAAAUAUACAGCAAAUUAAAACUUUUAAAACUAAACUAAAGAAACAUUUAGCUACAUAGCCAUAGGACUCACUACCGAACCGAUUGGAUGCGCAAGAACUUUAUACGAUAUAACUUUUCAUAUAUUCAUUUUUGUUAGUUUUAUAUUUUUAUUCUUUUAUUUAUUUAUUUAUUUUUUUUAUCAGGACUCCACUGAAAAUCACUUUCGUGAGUGGACCCCCUGACUAAAUAUUGUAAUUAUUAUUAUUAUUAAAUAUAUCCGGAAAUGGCUCCAGAUCCCAAUAAGCGGUAACAUUAGUCAUC